rnacentral:rRNA from 1 species
AUUGAACGCUGGCGGCAGGCCUAACACAUGCAAGUCGAGCGGAUGAGUGGAGCUUGCUCCAUGAUUCAGCGGCGGACGGGUGAGUAAUGCCUAGGAAUCUGCCUGGUAGUGGUGGACAACGUUUCGAUAGGAACGCUAAUACCGCAUACGUCCUACGGGAGAAAGUGGGGGAUCUUCGCACCUCACGCUAUCAGAUGAGCCUAGGUCGGAUUAGCUAGUUGGCGAGGUAAAGGCUAACCAAGGCGACGAUCCGUAACUGGUCUGAGAGGAUGAUCAGUAACACUGGAACUGAGACACGGUCCAGACUCCUACGGGAGGCAGCAGUGGGGAAUAUUGGACAAUGGGCGAAAGCCUGAUCCAGCCAUGCCGCGUGUGUGAAGAAGGUCUUCGGAUUGUAAAGCACUUUAAGUUGGGAGGAAGGGCAGUAAGUUAAUACCUUGCUGUUUUGACGUUACCAACAGAAUAAGCACCGGCUAACUUCGUGCCAGCCGCCGCCGUAAAAC